ACGGGGACCCGCACAAGCGUGGAUGAUGUGGAUUAAUUCGAUGCAACGCGAAGAACCUUACCUACCCUUGACAUGUCCGGAACUUGCCAGAGAUGGCUUGGUGCCCGAAAGGGAAUCGGAACACAGGUGCUGCAUGGCUGUCGUCAGCUCGUGUCGUGAGAUGUUGGGUUAAGUCCCGCAACGAGCGCAACCCUUAUCAUUAGUUGCUACGCAAGGGCACUCUAAUGAGACUGCCGGUGACAAACCGGAGGAAGGUGGGGAUGACGUCAAGUCCUCAUGGCCCUUAUGGGUAGGGCUUCACACGUCAUACAAUGGUCGGUACAGAGGGUUGCCAAGCCGCGAGGCGGAGCCAAUCCCACAAAGCCGAUCGUAGUCCGGAUUGUUCUCUGCAACUCGAGAGCAUGAAGUCGGAAUCGCUAGUAAUCGCAGGUCAGCAUACUGCGGUGAAUACGUUCCCGGGUCUU
rnacentral:rRNA from 1 species